GCCUUCAUGGUGUAGUGGUCAGCACGCUCGACUCGUAUUCGAGAGGUCCGUGGUUCGAGUCCCGGCGAGGGUA
rnacentral:tRNA from 1 species